rnacentral:rRNA from 1 species
AGUGAACGCUGGCGGUAGGCCUAACACAUGCAAGUCGAACGGCAGCACAGUAAGAGCUUGCUCUUACGGGUGGCGAGUGGCGGACGGGUGAGGAAUACAUCGGAAUCUACUUUUUCGUGGGGGAUGACGUAGGGAAACUUACGCUAAUACCGCAUACGACCUACGGGUGAAAGCAGGGGAUCUUCGGACCUUGCGCGAUUGAAUGAGCCGAUGUCGGAUUAGCUAGUUGGCGGGGUAAAGGCCCACCAAGGCGACGAUCCGUAGCUGGUCUGAGAGGAUGAUCAGCCACACUGGAACUGAGACACGGUCCAGACUCCUACGGGAGGCAGCAGUGGGGAAUAUUGGACAAUGGGCGCAAGCCUGAUCCAGCCAUACCGCGUGGGUGAAGAAGGCCUUCGGGUUGUAAAGCCCCUUUGUUGGGAAAGAAAAGCAGCAGGUUAAUACCCCGCUGUUCUGACGGUACCCAAAGAAUAAGCACCGGCUAACUUCGUG